CUUGCGACCAUAUUACGUUGAAACACCGGUCCCCGUAUGAUCACCGAAGUUAAGCAACGUUUAGAUUAGUCAGUACUUAGAUGGGUGACCGCUUAGGAAUACCAGAUACUGUAA